rnacentral:rRNA from 1 species
AGGGACGAAGGGUUUCUGACGGUAAAUGGAGAAGAAUCACCGGCUAACUACAUGCCCCAGCCGCGGUAAUACGUAGGGUGCGAGCGUUGUCCGGAAUUACUGGGCGUAAAGAGCUCGUAUGUGGUUUGUCGCGUCGUCUGUGAAAUUCCCGGGCUCAACUCCGGGCGUGCAGGCGAUACGGGCAUAACUUGAGUACUGUAGGGGAGACUGGAAUUCCUGGUGUAGCGGUGAAAUGCGCAGAUAUCAGGAGGAACACCGGUGGCGAAAGCAGGUCUCUGGGCAAUAACUGACGCUGAGGAGCGAAAGCAUGGGUAGCGAACAGGAUUAGAUACCCUGGUAGUCCAUGCCGUAAACGGUGGGCGCUAGGUGUAGGGGUCUUCCACGACUUCUGUGCCGUAGCUAACGCAUUAAGCGCCCCGCCUGGGGAGUACGGCCGCAAGGCUAAAACUCAAAG